rnacentral:rRNA from 12 species
UGAUAGCUCUUUCUUGAUUCUAUGGGAGGUGGUGCAUGGCCGUUUCUAGUUCGUGAGUUGACUUGUCAGGUUAAUUCCGGUAACGAGCGAGACCUCAACUCCUAGCGAGCUCAGUACGUUGAAUAUCCGGUGUAGACUUGGGUACAACCAAGAUCCACGAAGGGAGUAGCUUGGUGAAGGCAAUCCGGGUAUGGGCCAGGACCGAGCAUUACGAAAUGAGCAUCCUAGGAGGACGCUUGGUGGGAAACCAAGGGAGGCAUGAGGCGAUAGCAGGUCUGUGAUGCCCUUAGAUG